rnacentral:tRNA from 1 species
GUCCGCAUAGUUUAAUGGAUAAAACAAAAACCUCCUAAGUUUUAGAUCCAGGUUCGAUUCCCGGUGUGGACA